rnacentral:pre_miRNA from 2 species
GAUAUACUCCAUCCGUCCCAAAAUUCUUGUCUUAGAUUUGUCUAAAUAUGAAUGUAUCUAGUCACGAUUUAGUAUUUAGAUACAUUCAUUUUUAGACAAACUUAAGACAAUAAUUUUGGGACGGAGGGAGUAUACC